GGGGGGAGGCCGGAUCCUGGGCUGUGUCCUGGUGCCCUGUGCUCCCGGUCUGCACUGGUGGAUUCGCUCUCAGGCCCCGCAGCCGCCU
rfam:Canis lupus familiaris chromosome 18, whole genome shotgun sequence.